rnacentral:rRNA from 1 species
AUUGAACGCUGGCGGCAGGCCUAACACAUGCAAGUCGAACGGUAACAGGAAGCAGCUUGCUGCUUUGCUGACGAGUGGCGGACGGGUGAGUAAUGUCUGGGAAACUGCCCGAUGGCGGGGGAUAACUACUGGAAACGGUAGCUAAUACCGCAUAACGUCGCAAGACCAAAGAGGGGGACCUUAGGGCCUCUUGCCAUCGGAUGUGCCCAGAUGGGAUUAGCUAGUAGGUGGGGUAACGGCUCACCUAGGCAACGAUCCCUAGCUGGUCUGAGAGGAUGACCAGCCACACUGGAACUGAGACACGGUCCAGACUCCUACGGGAGGCAGCAGUGGGGAAUAUUGCACAAUGGGCGCAAGCCUGAUGCAGCCAUGCCGCGUGUAUGAAGAAGGCCUUCGGGUUGUAAAGUACUUUCAGCGGGGAGGAAGGGAGUAAAGUUAAUACCUUUGCUCAUUGACGUUACCCGCAGAAGAAGCACCGGCUAACUCCGUG